rnacentral:rRNA from 1 species
UACGGAGGGGGCUAGCGUUGUUCGGAAUCACUGGGCGUAAAGCGCGCGUAGGCGGCUUGCCAAGUCAGGGGUGAAAGCCCGCGGCUCAACCGCGGAACUGCCCUUGAGACUGGCUCGCUCGAACACGGGAGAGGCGGGUGGAAUUCCGAGUGUAGAGGUGAAAUUCGUAGAUAUUCGGAAGAACACCGGUGGCGAAGGCGGCCCGCUGGACCGUUGUUGACGCUGAGGCGCGAAAGCGUGGGGAGCAAACAGG